AUGAACGAUAUUUGUCAUAUUGCUGAAUUUGCAUACUUAACUUGCAGCAAGUAUGAUGCCUAUUUAACUUUUAUUGGCCACGGGAAUAACUUAGAGAUUAGUCGCAUUCGCCAAGAGAAAUUCCAUGAGUGGUUUAAGCUCCAUGUGGCACAACUAAUUGCGAAUGGUGAAGAUAUUUUUGAAGAGAUUCAAACUUUAGCUAACGGGCCCUUCUUAGCUGCAAGGAAGUGUAAUAGCUAUACCAUAGAUGGGUACAAUUUCCACACAAAUUCGUAUGAUCAGGGUAGACCUAACCAAAGCAGCGGGGUUGCUCUUGUAUCUCAGAUUUUGUCUUCCACAAGUGAAGAUAAUGAAAAUCUUAUGGUCAGCAAUAAAAUAUAUUAUGGUGUGAUAACUGAAAUCCUUGAGUUAAAUUAUAACAACAAAGGAAGUAUUGUGCUUUUCAAAUGUGAUUGGAUUGACAACUGUGCACAAGACAAGGGGGUUCAAGUCGAUGAUCUUGGUGUCACACGUGUGAACUUCAAGCAUUUACUCAAGUCUGAUGAACCUUUCAUUUUGGCAUCUCAAGCAACCCAAGUGUACUAUGUGCAAGAUAAGCUUGAUAAAGAUUGGUAUUCUGUUAGAAGCUUUCCUCAUCCAUGA
rnacentral:rRNA from 1 species